rnacentral:rRNA from 1 species
UACGUAGGUGGCAAGCGUUGUCCGGAUUUAUUGGGCGUAAAGAGCGUGUAGGCGGCCAUGUAGGUCCGGUGUGAAAACUCGAGGCUUAACCUCGAGAUGUCAUCGGAAACCAUUUGGCUAGAGUCCGGAAGAGGAGAGUGGAAUUCCUGGUGUAGCGGUGAAAUGCGCAGAUAUCAGGAAGAACACCAAUGGCAAAAGCAGCUCUCUGGGACGGUACUGACGCUGAGACGCGAAAGCGUGGGGAGCGAACAGG